CUGUCUCGCCCGCCAUGUCGGGGAAGUGGAGCACGAGCGCACGCUUUAGGACCCGAAAGAUGGUGAACUAUGCCUGGGCAGGGCGAAGCCAGCUCUGGUGGAGGUCCGUAGUGGUCCUGAUGUGCAAAUCCGUCAUCCGACCUAGGUAUAGGGGCAAAAGACUUAUCGAACCAUCUAGUAGCUGGUUCCCUCCGAAGUUUCCCUCAGGAUAGCUGGCGCGCUGGCAACAACCCCAACUCAGUUUUAUCUGGUAAAGCAAAUGAUUAGAGGUCUUGGGACAGAAAUGAUCUCAACCUAUUCUCAAACUUUAAAUGGGUAAGAAGCUCGACUUGCUGGCGUGGAGCAGGGCGUGGAAUGCGAGUGCCUAGUGGGCGACUUUUGGUACCCAGAACUGGCGCUGCCGGAUGAACUGAAUGCCGGGUUAAGGCGUUCUUUUGAAAAGCAAGAGUUGAUUCCCUUUUUCUUGGAAUAAUGCUGAGAAGUCAUUUAAACCAUAGGGUGAUUUUUAUUGUGUUGUCUUUAGAUAUUACUGCAAGCAAACUAGGUAUUGUCUAUGUAAUGUUCAGAAUGACAGA
rnacentral:ncRNA from 1 species